rnacentral:rRNA from 1 species
GAUGAACGCUGGCGGCGUGCCUAAUACAUGCAAGUCGAGCGAAUGGAUUAAGAGCUUGCUCUUAUGAAGUUAGCGGCGGACGGGUGAGUAACACGUGGGUAACCUGCCCAUAAGACUGGGAUAACUCCGGGAAACCGGGGCUAAUACCGGACAACAUUUUGAACCGCAUGGUUCGAAAUUGAAAGGCGGCUUCGGCUGUCACUUAUGGAUGGACCCGCGUCGCAUUAGCUAGUUGGUGAGGUAACGGCUCACCAAGGCAACGAUGCGUAGCCGACCUGAGAGGGUGAUCGGCCACACUGGGACUGAGACACGGCCUAGACUCCUACGGGAGGCAGCAGUAGGGAAUCUUCCGCAAUGGACGAAAGUCUGACGGAGCAACGCCGCGUGAGUGAUGAAGGCUUUCGGGUCGUAAAACUCUGUUGUUAGGGAAGAACAAGUGCUAGUUGAAUAAGCUGGCACCUUGACGGUACCUAACCAGAAAGCCACGGCUAACUACGUGCCAGCCGCCGCGGUAA